UACGUAGGGUGCGAGCGUUAAUCGGAAUUACUGGGCGUAAAGCGUGCGCAGGCGGUUGUGCAAGACAGAUGUGAAAUCCCCGGGCUCAACCUGGGAACUGCAUUUGUGACUGCAUCGCUGGAGUACGGCAGAGGGGAUGGAAUUCCGCGUGUAGCAGUGAAAUGCGUAGAUAUGCGGAGGAACACCGAUGGCGAAGGCAAUCCCCUGGGCCUGUACUGACGCUCAUGCACGAAAGCGUGGGGAGCAACAGG
rnacentral:rRNA from 1 species